rnacentral:tRNA from 1 species
GUUUCUCUAGUUGAAAGACAACAGUGGUUUUUCAAGCCACUAGUCCUGGUUAGAGUCCUGGGAGAAACC